ACUCAGCCAUACUGGGGGAGAUGACCCAACUUCAGUUCUAUUCCAGAUGAAGAGUAACUAGAAAAAAUAUGUAUCUCUGAACAUUAGAAUCACACUCAGCCUGAUGAGAUGCUCACACCGAGGAAUACCGGAAGUGAGACUGACUAAACGGACCUGAGGUAGAGGACAGGCAUAAAACUGCCUGCCCUUGUUUUCCCCAUCCUUCCCCACAACUCGGAGAAUGCAGAGGCGGUUGUGUUUACUGCAGCGAGGGCUGUCAGGAUUUAAGGAUUAUUUCGAGGAUUAAAACAAACAAAAGUGAAAUGACUCAUUCUGGACGGCCCCAGGUGGUUCUGAAAUCCUGAGACUGAAAACUCCAAGAAGCAACCAAGAGACAAGGACAUGGUGUCAGUACUUGCACUGGUGAUUAAAGACAGAUCUUCAACAUCCCUGACGGCAGCAAAUAUGUCUAUGAUAGUAACACGGGGUGAAGCGGCUGAGUGGAAGAAGAUAUAGAGUGCUGUAGAGAAAAGUAUUGGAGAACAAGAAGAGUGAUGCAGAAAAUGAAACGCAGGGACACAAAGAAAAAGCACGCAGUUCUGGACAUAUUUAUGAAGACUUAAGCUGGGACUUCCUCUGCACACCAGCUCCCUCCCCUGCCCCCAGCUCUACAGACAUGACCGCACUUCCCACCUCCCGGGUUUCCCACAGCCGAGUGGUGCCCUGAGUCUCUUCCUAUGUCCAAUCCUAUGGUUUUGUUUCCUUUGCUUUUUCUUUCCUGCCCACUUUGUAGUUAUAGGUAUUUGCUGAAGCUCAGACCUUGGCUCAUUUCCUUUCUCAUUCUUACUGAACUGAGAAGUUGGAAUGCUUCAAUCAACAGCACUGUGCCGACAGCCUCUCUCAUCCUGGAUCGCAGCCCCUAAGACAUGUCUUCCUGGAUAUUCCAGGGUUCUUUCACAUAUCUAACACAUACUGCAUCUUCACUGCUGCAUCCCAAUUUUCCCAGACCCACAAUGUGAAAAUUUUUAUUAUUUGGUCCUGAAACCUUUUGCAUCAUCCUACCUAUCAAAUCUGCCACAGUCCUUGUUGACUUUUAAAAAGUUUUACUAGGGUACCACGUCCAGUGUCUUGACCCCAGGCUGGUAACCAUCGCUUGCCCAUUACUCUGCACCAGCUUCUUUACAUGCAUUUUCAGUCUCUUCGUUUUCCAUGUUAACUAUGCUACAAUCAACUAAAAGUCCUUAAUGUGCUAAUUUAGGAAAGACCUUAACCAUUCUCCAAACUACUAAUGACCCCCACCAUUUGAUCCCACUCUCCCUGUAAAACUAGCUUUUAUUAUUCCACAACGUGGAGCCUCUGUUGGGGUUGGCCAGUAUUCUCAUCAUCCCUCCACCAUGCCAUGUUUAUUAAUGAGUCAAGGUUUGUGGCCAUGCUCCUUUUUUCCAAUUAAAUACUGUUUGCUUUAUCGUUUAAUCAAAAUUCUAUUUUUUAAGGUAAAUUUCAAAUGAUACUUUUUUUAAGUCUAGUCAAGUACAGUAGGGAGAAGGGGGGAAAGAGUGGAACAAG
rnacentral:lncRNA from 1 species